AUGGCCGUGUGCCGCCCCUCUCCUCCGAGCGCCGCGUCGGGCCUCCUGCGCCGUAACUGGAGUCCAACUCCGACGCCCCUGCCUUGCGUCGUCUUCUUCAACCCCCUGCCCGAGUCCCCUGCAUCACGCCCCGUCGCCGGAGCCGCGUCAAGCCGCCGUCCUCUCCUCGCCGGUGCGCCCCCCUCCAUUCCGGCGCCGGGAACGGAACCCCGCGCCCGAAUCUCGCCUCCACCACCAUGCGCCGCGUGCCCAACCUCCUCCCUCACUUGCGGCCGUGCCUCCUCCUCCGCAUCAGCCGGCUUCUCCCCUCGUUCCCACGCAGCGCCAUGCCCCGUCGCCCCUCCGGUCGCUGCGACCAGGAGCGCUGCCGCCCUCCUUCCUCAUCUGCACCGAGCCCCGCGGCCACUUCGUCCAUGUCGCCCCGCGCCUCCGUUCCGCGAGACCGCCCGUUCCUCCCAUCGCCACCCGCCGCCGUCGGCGACCACCAGGAGGGCCACCUCCAGCUUCCCCGUCCUCUGCUUCGCCUCGUGCCCAACGGCUUGUCCGACGCUGCCCUGCACCAGCUCGUGUGUCCGCGCGUGUAGCCAGGACUGCCAAGACUCAAUGGUUUUCCAUGCGUCGCCGGGAGCUCCUCCAAUUGUUGCCCCGUACACCGCUUUGCUGCUGCCGCUGGAUCGCCAAGACCGAUCCCCCGAGGAACCUUGUGUUCAACUACACAACGAGCAAGUUCCACUACAACCCAUGUUCGACUACUUAGAUUCGCCAAGUACCACGACGACCAUCGCUUGCCAAGAUCGACUACACGGUGAUGCGACAAGUACCUCUCUCGACGACCCUGGACGACUACAAAAACGUGUACCACUACCGUCGACCCUUGAAGACCCCAUGGACCCCGAACAUCUGUGGAUCAUGAACACCUACUUCCACUACGAGAUGUACCUCUACCGACGCCGCGAACGACUACUUCCACGACGUCCCGUGAACGCCUACUUCCUCUACACCGCUCCAAAAACGCACGCUUCAAAGGUAUAA
rnacentral:rRNA from 1 species